rnacentral:tRNA from 1 species
AGAGAGGUGUCCGAGCGGUUUAAGGAGCACGCCUGGAACGCGUGUGUGGGGUAACACUCACCGAGGGUUCGAAUCCCUUCCUCUCUGCCA